UACAGAGGUCUCAAGCGUUUGUUCGGAUUCAUUGGGCGUAAAGGGUGCGUAGGUGGCGGGGGUAAGUCAGGUGUGAAAUCUCGGAGCUCAACUCCGAAACUGCACUUGAUACUGCCUUGCUCGAGUACUGGAGAGGAGAUUGGAAUUUACGGUGUAGCAGUGAAAUGCGUAGAUAUCGUAAGGAAGACCAGUGGCGAAGGCGAAUCUCUGGACAGUUACUGACACUGAGGCACGAAGGCCAGGGGAGCAAACAGG
rnacentral:rRNA from 1 species